CCUACGGGUGGCAGCAGUGAGGAAUAUUGGUCAAUGGUCGUGAGGCUGAACCAGCCAAGUCGCGUGAAGGAAGAAGGUUCUAUGGAUUGUAAACUUCUUUUAUAGGGGAAUAAAGGUAUCCACGUGUGGAUGUUUGCAUGUAACCUAUGAAUAAGCAUCGGCUAACUCCGUGCCAGCAGCCGCGGUAAUACGGAGGAUGCGAGCGUUAUCCGGAUUUAUUGGGUUUAAAGGGUGCGUAGGUGGUUUUUUAAGUCAGCGGUUAAAGUUUGUGGCUCAACCAUAAAAUGGCCGUUGAAACGGGCAGCCUUGAGUGUGAUUGAGGUAGGCGGAAUGCGUGGUGUAGCGGUGAAAUGCAUAGAUAUCACGCAGAACUCCGAUUGCGAAGGCAGCAUACUAAGCCAUAACUGACACUGAAGCACGAAAGCGUGGGUAUCAAACAGGAUUAGAUACCCCAGUAGUC
rnacentral:rRNA from 1 species